rnacentral:tRNA from 1 species
GGGAGAUUAGCUCAGUUGGUUAGAGCACUGUGUUGAUAACGCAGGGGUCUGAGGUUCGAGUCCUCAAUUUCCCA